GUUGAACAAUUAUGCAUCCUCAAUCUCGAUCCUUGCUUGGUAUUGUGUCAUCUGCAUUGUCAUGCUACAUAUUCUUUUAUCACCAAUUGAUGAGAUAUUGAGGAUUUUUAGGUAAUAAAAACUCUUUGAAAGUUGAAAGAUUAGUGAAUAUAGAGGAUGAUUGAAGGUUAAAAGGUUGUGUGAUCAACAAAUAGUGGUCAUAUGUUUAUAUAGAGGAUGAUUGAUGAAAGUUGAACAGUUGGUGAAAGUUGAAAGUUUGGUGUUGAACGAUUGGUGAAAGUUGAAAGUUUGGUGUUGAAGGGUUGGUGAAUUGAAAAUUUGGUAUUGAACGGUUGAUGAAUUGAAAGUUAGCACAUGGUUGAAAGAUUGAUGAAAGUUGAAGGCUUGCUUUGUGAAAAAUUUAGUGAUUUUUCAAUAUUUAUUGGAAUUUAAAUUUUUUUAGAUUAAAAUGUUCAUAAAAUUAAUUUACGAUAGUCUACAUAUUUAUUUAAAAAAAUUAAUUUAAGAAAAAUAAUCGCCUAAAUUUAUUCUUUAAUAAUCCCAGGCUAAAAUUUUAGGACAGAACAGUUGGAGCAGAAAAACUGUUUCUGAGCUAAAAUAUUUGGCUUUUAGCCCAACCAUUAGAGAUGGUCUUAUUAGGACAAAAAGUAUUAAAACUUAUGUUUUGAAAACAAAUGUACCAAAAAUUCAAGAAAAUUUUAACAAAAAACUCCCGGUACUGUUUACUUUAACUAAAAACCACAUUUUUGCACUAAAGAAUCAAUUCUGGUACUAUUCACUUUAUCUUUUAUUUUGUCCUUAUCGUUAAAACUCAAAGUUUUUAAGCCAAUUUCAUUAAUUUUCCUAAAAUUCAAAUGUACCAAGAAGCCAAAUGAACCAAAAAUUCAAAUGUAGCAAGUAACAACAUGUACCAUUAUAAUUAAAUGUACCAAUAUAACCAAACGUACCUAUCAACGAGUUUUGUUACAUUCUAUUUAAUUUACUAAAAUAACUAUUUUAAUAAAAAAUAAAAAAAUCUUAAAUCAUCAUAAUUAGAGAUACAUAAAAAUUGGAAGAAAAAAGAAAAUGCUAUCGUGAAUAGACUUUUAAUGAAAUAAAAUUAAGGGUAAAGUACAAAAAACUACCUCAACUAUUGGUGUUACGACACUUUCAUAUCUCAUCUUUUAAAAUUGACAAUAUCAUACCUCAUCUUACGAAUUUGUGUCAAUGGUAUAUCUUUCGUUAGGGUUGGCAUGAAUUUCUCAAUUAAAUGCUGAUGUGGCUUAAUCCAAGACCAAUUUUCUAUUAAAAAUUAUUAAAAAUUAAAAAAAAAUAAUAUUUUUUAAAUAUUAAAAAAAAAAAAACCAACACUCAGUUCAGUUCGUCCCCUCCCCCCUUCUCUCUCUUCUCCCCAUCAUCAUCUUCUUCCCCCUUCCUGCAACUGCAACCCAGAAAAAAAGAAGAGAAAAAAAAAAACCAAUUUGUCUUCCCCCCUCCCCACCCCCUCUUCACCCCGCACCCCCGCACCCCCGCACCCACUCUCCGCACCCAACCUCCCCACCUUUGCACCCAACCUCACACCCACUACCAGCAACCCAAAAAAAAAAAAACCCCAAAUCCUGUUGAGGUGGAAUUAGGAAACCUUCGCCAAGACGAUUUCGAAGGUUGAGACCCUAAGCGCGGAGAAAAUAGGGGGAAUGGGUGUGGAGGGAAAAGGGUGGGUGUCGCGGGGGGGGGGGACGGACGAACUGGGUUUCCUUUUUAUUUUUUAUUUAUUCUCUCUCUUCUUCUUCUUCUUCUUUCUGGGUUUGUUCGGGGGGAGGGGAUUGGGUUGGGUUGGGUUUUUUUUUUUUUUUUUUUUUGUCUUCUUCUGCUUCUUCUUCCUCAUUUUUUCUGGGUUGCAAGGGGUUGGGUUUGUGGUGGUGGGAGAGGGGACGAACUGGGUUUGGUUUGGGGUUUUGUUUUUCCUUCUUCUUCUUCUUCUUCUUCUUUCUGGGUUUGUUGUUGAGGGGAGGGGGAAUUGGGUUGGGUUUUUUUUUUUUUUUUUCCUUCCUCCUUUUUUUUUUUUUUUUGUCAAUCCUUUUGCUUGGGUUGCAGGAAGAUGGGGAGAGAGAGAGAGGGGGAAAGAUGAACUGACCUGAGGUUUUUUUUUUCCCCUUUAUUAUUUUAAUAUUUAAAAAAAUAUUAAAUAAUUUUUUUUUAGUUUGUAAUAAUUUUUUAAUAGAAAAUGAAACCGAAUCAAGCCACAUUAGCAUUUAAUUAAAAAAUUUACGAUCAAGUAAUAGAAUGUAUAACAUUAGCACAAAUUCGUAAGAUGAUGUAUGACAUUAUCAAUUUUAAAAGAUGAGUCAUGAAAGUUAAUGGUAAUUUUUUGUAGUUUACCUAAAAUUACGUACCAAAAAUUGUAGGAAAAAUGUUUAAUCAAAUUUGCAUAAUAGACGUUCAGUAACAUUUAAAAAGUUUUGCCCAACUCAAUAAACACGAGUCAACAACUUUCAAGAAUCUGUAUAAUGUGUUCGUCCCUUAGAGCAAAUCCACCCCAAAACCAACUCCCCAGCACCCAGCCAAAAAAAUAGGCCAGGCCCCUGUUUUUUUGCUCCAGCUCGUUACAUUGCCUGGCACCCAGCCCAUGCCAGGCAACAGCCCAGCACAUUUUGGACUGACCCAGAAGCCGGCCUGUUUCUCAGGCGCGUGCAACACAAGCGCGCAAGGCGCGAGUGGGUUUCAGGGAAACCUGAAAAGGUGUCAGCCCACUUGGGCUCAGUGACGUGGCUUCACGAUAGCCGUUGGAUUUCCAACGGCUAGUUUUUCUAGACCGUUGGAUUUCCAACAAUAAAAAAAAUUUAAAUUUUACUUUUAAACUGGACCGUUCGAUCAAAGAUCAACGGUCCAGAUUAAUUAACUUAAUUAAAAUUUAUUAAAAAAUACAGAAAAUUAAAAAAAAAAUUAUUUUUUUCUUUCUAUAGUUUAUUUGAUGAGUUUAUGUAAUUUUAUUUUAGUGUGUUUUUUUUUUAAGUUUAUUUGAUGAGUAUGUAAUUUUAUUUCAGUGUGUUUUUUUUUUAAGUUUAUUUGAAAUUUUAUCCAAAAUUGGUUAAAAAUCAUAUCCGAAAUAAACUUAAAAAAAAAAAAAACAUACCAAAUAAAUGCGCUGGGUGCCAGCGCAUUUUUUUAGGGGUGGAGAUGCUUUGGUCUGUUACUGUUCACUAGGGUCUAUUACUGUUCACUUGAGUGGAUAAAUGCGCUGGGUGCUGGCACAAAGUCCUUAGGGGUGGACUUGCUCUUGUAAAAACAUAUCACUUGAGGUGAUUAAUUAUACGAACAUAAUCAACUUCUAGAAACUUAAAAUUACAUGAUUAACCAAAAUCAUACUUAGGAAUCUAAGCAAAGAAUCAGAAGAAAUAUGAGAAAAAAGGAAUGGGGAACUUACAAGAUCUUUGAAAAUGAUAAAAGCGAUUACGAAGACAACAAAAGAAGAUUUCGAUCUCGGCGAAUGGAACGAACCGAAAGACCGACUUGACACCCUGAGUCAAUGCGGAUGCAUUUGAAACUCGCUUCGCCACGGCUGCGCGGUCGGGUUGGGCUUUGGAGUCGGAUUUAAUACCAUCGGAAUUAGAUCGGCGAUCAUCCGAUGAGCGAUGGUGGUCAGGUGGUGGUGUGAUUGGUGUCACGGAUGGGUGGAGCCGCGGAGAGCGGGAGGCGGAGGUGGAGGCAGGCAGGUCUGUGUGGACAGUUGGAUCUGGGUGUGGGUGGACGAUGCGGCCUUAGCCUGUAGUCUGGUCGCGAAGAACUUAUGAAGACGAAGAGAAAGGCUUGGAGCUUGGAAGACGGAGAGACCGAAGCGUCGAUGGUGAAGAUUCGAAGACGCAGGAGGGUGAAAAUUUGGUGCCCUCAGCAAUUUUGGGCCCAGGACAGGAGCCCUGUUAGCACUGGGCCAGGGCCAGGCCUGCUCCAAAGUGAAAAAAUGAUGCGAUGCUCUAAUGGCUCUAAUUCAAUGGUUUCUCAUGCUUCUCAGCCUCCCGUGCACUUUGAUUGUUGAUGUUACUCACUCUACUCCUAACGGCAAUGCCCGAAGGGCAUGCAAAAAUCUCUUUUCACUUGGAACAACGCAACAAGCCAAAGCGCGAGAUUUCCCCUACCACAUCGGAUGUUCAUGUAAACAUGCUACAAAUCCUAGUUUGC
rnacentral:lncRNA from 1 species